rnacentral:rRNA from 1 species
CCGCGGCAGUCUACACUGCAGUCGUACGGUAACAGCGCAGUCAGCUUGCUGCUUCGCUGACGAGUGGCGGACGGGUGAGUAAUGUCUGGGAAACUGCCUGAUGGAGGGGGAUAACUACUGGAAACGGUAGCUAAUACCGCAUAACGUCGCAAGACCAAAGAGGGGGACCUUCGGGCCUCUUGCCAUCGGAUGUGCCCAGAUGGGAUUAGCUAGUAGGUGGGGUAACGGCUCACCUAGGCGACGAUCCCUAGCUGGUCUGAGAGGAUGACCAGCCACACUGGAACUGAGACACGGUCCAGACUCCUACGGGAGGCAGCAGUGGGGAAUAUUGCACAAUGGGCGCAAGCCUGAUGCAGCCAUGCCGCGUGUAUGAAGAAGGCCUUCGGGUUGUAAAGUACUUUCAGCGGGGAGGAAGGGAGUAAGUUAAUACCUUUGCUCAUUGACGUUACCCGCAGAAGAAGCACCGGCUAACUCCGUGCCAGCAGCCGCGGUAAUACGGAGGGUGCAAGCGUUAAUCGGAAUUACUGGGCGUAAAGCGCACGCAGGGCGGUUUGUUAAGUCAGAUGUGAAAUCCCCGGGCUCAACCUGGGAACUGCAUCUGAUACUGGCAAGCUUGAGUCUCGUAGAGGGGGGGUAGAAUUCCAGGUGUAGCGGUGAAAUGCGUAGAGAUCUGGAGGAAUAUCGGUGGCCGAAAGGCGGCCCUCUGGACGAAGACUGACGCUCAGUGCGAAAGCGGUGGGGGAGCAACAGGAUUAGAUACCCUGGUAGUCCACGCCGUAAACGAUGUCGACUUGGGAGGUUGUGCCUUUGAGCGUGCUUCGGGAGCUAACGCGUUAAGUCGAUGCUGGGGGAGUACGUUGCAAGUUAACUCAAUGAUGACGGGCCCGCCACAGCGGUGGAGCAAUGUGGUUUAAUUCGAUGCAA